rnacentral:misc_RNA from 1 species
UACGUAGGGGGCAAGCGUUGUCCGGAAUUAUUGGGCGUAAAGCGCGCGCAGGCGGUCCUUUAAGUCUGAUGUGAAAUCUUGCGGCUUAACCGCAAGCGGUCAUUGGAAACUGGGGGACUUGAGUACAGAAGAGGAGAGCGGAAUUCCACGUGUAGCGGUGAAAUGCGCAGAGAUAUGGAGGAACACCAGUGGCGAAGGCGGCUCUCUGGUCUGUAAUUGACGCUGAGGCUCGAAAGCGUGGGGAGCGGACCGG